GCCAGACUCCUACGGGAGGCAGCAGUGAGGAAUAUUGGUCAAUGGGCGGAAGCCUGAACCAGCCAAGUCGCGUGAGGGAAUAAGGCCCUACGGGUCGUAAACCUCUUUUGCCGGGGAGCAAGGGCGGGGACGUGUCCCGGCCCGGAGAGUACCCGGAGAAAAAGCAUCGGCUAACUCCGUGCCAGCAGCCGCGGUAAUACGGAGGAUGCGAGCGUUAUCCGGAUUUAUUGGGUUUAAAGGGUGCGCAGGCGGCACGGCAAGCCGGCGGUCAAAUCGCGGGGCUCAACCCCGCCCAGCCGUCGGAACUGCCGGGCUAGAGUGGGCGAGAAGUGCGCGGAAUGCGUGGUGUAGCGGUGAAAUGCUUAGAUAUCACGAAGAACUCCGAUUGCGAAGGCAGCUCACUGGACUGCAACUGACACUGAGGCUCGAAAGUGUGGGUAUCAAACAGGAUUAGAUACCCCCGUAA
rnacentral:rRNA from 1 species